GUGAGGAAUAUUGGACAAUGGGCGCAAGCCUGAUCCAGCCAUGCCGCGUGCAGGAAGACGCAUCUAUGGUGUGUAAACUGCUUUUGUACGGGAAGAAACACUCCCUCGUGAGGGAGCUUGACGGUACCGUAAGAAUAAGGAUCGGCUAACUCCGUACCAGCAGCCGCGGUAAUACGGAGGAUCCAAGCGUUAUCCGGAAUCAUUGGGUUUAAAGGGUCCGUAGGCGGUUUAAUAAGUCAGUGGUGAAAGCCCAUCGCUCAACGAUGGAACGGCCAUUGAUACUGUUAGACUUGAAUUACAAGGAAGUAACUAGAAUAUGUAGUGUAGCGGUGAAAUGCUUAGAUAUUACAUGGAAUACCAAUUGCGAAGGCAGGUUACUACUUGUGGAUUGACGCUGAUGGACGAAAGCGUGGGGAGCGAACAGGAUUAGAAACCCCGGUAGUCC
rnacentral:rRNA from 1 species